rnacentral:rRNA from 1 species
UACGUAGGGUGCAAGCGUUAAUCGGAAUUACUGGGCGUAAAGCGUGCGCAGGCGGUUUUGUAAAUCUGUCGUGAAAGCCCCGGGCUCAACCUGGGAAUUGCGAUGGAGACUGCAAGGCUUGAAUCUGGCAGAGGGGGGUAGAAUUCCACGUGUAGCAGGUGAAAUGCGUAGAGAUGAUGGAGGAACACCGAUGGCGAAGGCAGCCCCCUGGGUCAAGAUUGACGCUCAUGCACGAAAGCGUGGGGAGCAAACAGG